UCCCUGACGGUCCAGUGGUUAGGACUUAGCACUUUCAAUGAGGGGGCCCAAGUUCAACCCUGGUCAGGGAA
rnacentral:tRNA from 1 species